rnacentral:lncRNA from 1 species
CCAUGGCCAGCCAGGUACAAACUGCUGCCACUAUUAAUCAGGUUAUUCAACAAACAUCCACCAUACUUGAAUCUCAAAGUAGAAUUAAUCAACACAUUCUAUCUGGGAUUUUGGCUGCUAAUCAAAGGAUAGAUCUGCUUCAAGCUCAAGUUGAGGAAUUGUCUGACCUAGUACAUUUGGGUUGUAUUGAUCAACGUGCACAUUUAUGUAUAACCUCUGUCAGAUUUUAUGAUUCCAGAAAUGCCUCCCACAUCAUCGGGGAGUAUCCAUCCGGAACCUGGUCCAUGGAAGCAGAAAACAUGAUCCAGUCUCAACUAACCCAGAUAGCUGUCUUGAACAGUACCCGUGUCGAUCCCGUGACUUUGGGUCAAUUCACCGAUUGGAUAUCUUCUGCUUUUUCCUUCUUCAAAGAGUGGGUGGGAGUAGGCAUUUUUGGUGCAAUGUGUUGCUUCGGUGUUGUACUUUGUUUGUGGCUUCUCUGUCGCCUUAAAACUCGCCAUGCACAAGAAAAGGCUAUGAUCAUACAAGCUCUUGCAGCUUUAGAAAAUGGCAACUCGCCUCAAGUCUGGCUUGCGCAUCUUAAGCAAUAAACCUUUGUCAUGGUCGUUACACCCCAAGUUAUUAUAACAUUGCACUGGGAUCGACAUGACUUUCCUUGUUAUUCUCUUAGUGUUGGAAAGCCCUUGCACUCUGCCGGUCUUACUGCCAUUGCACGCAGAUGGGUUUCCACACUAGUGCUUUUCUAUCGCCUUAAAGUCCGUGCCUUUCUUU